CCAUCUCCGUUUCAAAUGCCUAAAGGCAAUGAAAAAACUUUGCUGGUCUAGAGUGAGUAAGACGUGCUGGUCUCCUUGGCGCACUUGGCCACCAGUAUUGUCGGUGCGGUCGUCGUCGCCGAUGUACACUGGCAAGAAGUCGCUUGAGUUGGCUAAUCCUGGAGAGGCACAACGACGGGUGAGAGUGUCGGCGCCACAUUAUUUUACAACUGGGUGUUAAACGCAAGUAGAUAGAAAGAAACUGGGACUGGUCGAAAAUGAUUUUCGUGACACUGACAUGAACAAAAAUUGUGGAAAACUUGUGACAAGAUCGCACAUACAAAUAACAUAAAUAAUGUAAAAUGAGGAGAUCAGUACAUCAUGGCAAAGAGUGGGCUCAGAGGCAAGAACACCUAGAACAGAUAAGAAGCAGAUGACUAUUGUAAAAAAACACUAAGAUAUGGUUAUUGACUUCAGAAGCACGUUUAGAUUGACACUGAAUAUAUCAUAGAAGAAAAUAAUAUGAAGGAGGCUGGAUAUCAGAUGUAGUUAACUUUUACGCAACCUCUGAACAUGAUAUAGUGGGCAUUCCUAUAAAACUACCUGCUUACUUCACACUAACCUGGCUAACAGAGAACACAUAUGAGCACAAAGAGGGGCAUUAGUGCUUGCCUACAAUUGUAGUUGGAUAACAUAGUUGUGCAUCAGCAUGUCACACUACAAAGAACAAAAAGGUAGAAUAAGACAGCAGAGGCUUUCCUUGCUUUUCCGUUAGUUCAGAUGCAGGAUCAUCUCAUGCCAACUAUUCUUGAUCAUAAUUAAACAUUAACAUCAACAAUAUGCAAGAGCAUAGUGCAUUCAGUGCAUCAUUUUAUGUUUAUACAAUAUACAUGAUGAUUAAUCAAGUACCAUAUGUUAAGAACUGAAGCCUCUAACAUAAGUUGAAUUUGAAGAUUGCAGAAACGAAGCAGAUGGAACUGCAAAUAGUUUAUAAAAAAAUGAAAACAUAAGUAACAAAGAAGGCCACCUGUAUCUUCAAAUAGCACACAUCCCUGCAAAUCUUCUAAAGCAUUGUGGCAUAUUGUUAAUCCAAAGGACAAUAACAAAAUUCCAAGAACUAAAGGAAGUUGGUGUGGCUCACAUUUAGCUUUAAUUGAAGAUAACAAAUCUGCUUAUGACCAGAUAAUAAAAUACCAGCAAGCUCAUCUAGCUGGAGCCAGCGAGUUCUGAAUGUCGAGUUCUCUAAAGAAAGAAGAGGAAAAUCCUUAGCAAUCUUGAAACUUUUCAGUUCAAAAAGACAUAGUAGUACAGUAGCAUUUUGAGCUAAAGAAAUCUUUAAAUAAGGAAAACUUGCAAUCUGGAAACUUUUCAGUUCAAGAAGGCAUAGUAGUACAAUAACAUUUUGAGCUGAAGAAAUCUUUAAAUAAGGAAAACUUGCUUUGGUGAUGUCCUUGUGUAGGAAUUGCAAAUAAUAAUUCCAAAUUUUUAUUAUACUUUGAAAAAGGAAGCAUCCAUUAUUAAAGCACGAAGAUUUGAGAAAACCAAGCUUAUAAGAAUCUAAUCUAUCAUUUACAACAUAGUAGUGGUACCUGAAAUUAAAAUGUACCAAGACAUGAAAAUUUCACUUUUGCUUUAGAGGACUACAUACAGAAUUCUGAGAUGAUGUGGGAAGAAAGAUCACCGAGCUAUUUCAGAUCCUGUAAAUUGAAGGUAGUUUCAUAUCCUGCAGCCGAAAUAACAUAAAGAAAAAGCAGUUAAAUUAUA
rnacentral:lncRNA from 1 species